CCGCGGCUGUGGAUGCGUGUUGGACAUCCUGCGGCUUACCCCGGCGCCUACUUGAUGCCCCGAGCUCCCCUCUCUCUCCCUGGUAACCCUAGUCCCCAAAUCCCCUCUCCCUCGCUCAUAUCCGACGACCUGGACGAGGCCGAACUCGCGGUCGUCGUCAUCGUCAUCGAUCCCGCGGCCACCGGUCUCCAUUCGUCGCGCCAAGACGUCAAGGAGCUCCGCCAUCAUCGUCUCCAUCGCCCUUCCCUUUCGGUUGGAGCUCGGACGGCCUGCUGCCUCGCCAUCGCGCGGUCUUCUCCGCCACGGUCGUCGACCCCGUCGUCGAUUCGCGCAUCUCCGGUUCAUCCCCGACCACCUCGAGCUCGCCUAAAGAACCACAAAGGAGUGUUUCUAAACUUCUUGAUAGCGCUUUCCGUGAAAACCUAGACCGUCUUAUCCGGUCAUACACUCGCAAGGUCAUGGUACUCUCUCUUGGAGUAUGAAAGGAACACCUGCGGCAGCAAUCCCUGACUCACGAGAGCAAGGUGAAGAACAACAUAGAGUUGAUGACGAGGAACAUGAAGUUCGUUAUGCUAGGCCUCGUUUAGUGAUUCCACACCCACCUAUUCCUCCUUGUCAGCCAGUAUUUGCAAAGCCAACACGAGUAUUUAUUUGUUUAUUGCUUAAGUUUGCCCUCCCGGGGGAAGGUGCCAUUGCAAUCCCACCUUUUUUUCUCUGAGCCGAUCAAUUUCAUAGGCGGAUAUGUCAACUUGUUUUCUUUGCAAAACUGGAAAAAUCAUAUGGAGAUUUUCUAUGUUUUA